rnacentral:misc_RNA from 1 species
GAGCAGCUGCUUGCAGAAUGUGAGGUAAAAUAAAUCUGUUCAUAUUAAAUUGGUCUAGAAUUUCCUCUUCUACUUGUAACUACUUUUCUGACAUUUUCUUGAUUUCAAUAAUUCUUUUCUUUUCUGCAAGUAAUGCUGAGUGUGUUUGGCAUGAUAACGGAUGGGAUGGGAUGGGAUCAAUGCUUGCCUCACCUGCCCUUGCACAGAAAGUGGUAGUCAGUGCACUUGGGUGGGAUGAAUGCAUUGCUGAUAAAAAGUCCACAUCAGCCUCUGCGCGUGCCACAUGGUGUGCGCUUUGUGGUCCCUUUGGCAGCUUCUCUCCUUUGGCCAUGCAACUCAAUUGACUGUUGCACAAACAGUCAUUUUAAUUUUAAUUUUUUCUUUUCAUUAAGAAAAAGACAAAAAUACCCUCAACAGAAAAAGCCAUAAUAUUGGGGCUUUUUGAGAAUAGGAAAAUUUGCUCUAUCCUAUAUACACCCAUAAACAUGUUCCAAUUUGUUGUAACAAAUUCUAAUAUCAAUAAAAAUACAAG